rnacentral:tRNA from 1 species
AGUUCUUUAGGUUAUUUAGACCGGUAAGUUUACUACUUGCAAGUUCAAGAAUUU